UACAGAGGUCCCAAGCGUUGUUCGGAAUUACUGGGCGUAAAGGGCGCGUAGGCGGUUCGAUAAGUCCCGUGUGAAAUCCCUCGGCUCAACUGAGGAACUGCACGGGAAACUGACGGGCUUGAGUUCGGGAGAGGGAAGCGGAAUUCCGGGUGUAGCGGUGAAAUGCGUAGAUAUCCGGAGGAACACCGGUGGCGAAGGCGGCUUCCUGGACCGACACUGACGCUGAGGCGCGAAAGCUAGGGGAGCAAACGGG
rnacentral:rRNA from 1 species